AUGAUCAACAUAUUCUUCAAGGAGAUGCUCAACAUUUCUUCCUUGGAAAUACUGAAUGAAACAUUUUAAGGGUCUCUCUUCCUGCAUUACUUGACAUCUCCAGUCCUGUUUUUGACCUCUGAGGUGCUGCUUUCCAGUUCUCGUCGCCCUUACUUUGCCACGUCCUGACUCCUCCUGUGCAGAGGAGAUAUUAUUUCCUGGGACCUGCUC